CCAGGGCGGGGCCUCGACAGCCGGGUUCUCAGGGCCCUCAAGUGGCCUGAUCCCAUCGAGAUGGCCCUUGGAAGAAGCUGAAAAAGCAUAUAGUUCCAUAAUCUCCAACUGGUCUUUCCAUGCAUGAACUCAAGCGUUACAACUGUAUUACAAAAAAAGCAAUCUGGUUCUCACCAUUCGGCAGGCGGUUCUCAGGGAACUACAUCCAGGGUUUUCGAUGAUGUUCACCUUUUCAUGUGUAAACUCAGAGUAACUUAAGACACAGCUUCAUGUAUCUCAAAACCAGCCUGUUACAUCCUUGAAUAUGGCUACAUAGAAUGGAAGACAAGACUACAGAUCCUUCAGUGGGUACGGGAAUAGCUCCAACAGACAUCUUUGAUUUGAAGAAACCAAGUGAACGCCCCAAUGCAGCCAAAUUUGCUCAAUGUUCAAGGCCGGAGAUGGUAUCUAACGCUUCUGUAAGUGUGAAUGGUGUAGAGAUCCUGAUGUCAAUUACUACUUUUUUUUCUUUCCUCUCUCUCUUUUUUCUUUCUCUUUUUAAGGACUUCUCAUAUAGCAAACCUCCCAUCUACUAACAUAUGUUGCAGUCUAAAGUCACACUGGGAAUUUGUGACAGUAACAUUAACAAUGCAGAGAAGUAGAAACAUUCUAGUCAUCCUAUAAAUAUAUCAAACGUGGAGAGCA